rnacentral:rRNA from 1 species
YWMAUGCAAGUCGAGCGGGGAAAGGUAGCUUGCUACCUGACCUAGCGGCGGACGGGUGAGUAAUGCUUAGGAAUCUGCCUAUUAGUGGGGGACAACAUUCCGAAAGGAAUGCUAAUACCGCAUACGCCCUACGGGGGAAAGCAGGGGAUCUUCGGACCUUGCGCUAAUAGAUGAGCCUAAGUCAGAUUAGCUAGUUGGKGGGGUAAAGGCCUACCAAGGCGRCGAUYUGUASCGGGUCUGAGAGGAUGAUCCGCCACACUGGGACUGAGACACGGCCCAGACUCCUACGGGAGGCAGCAGUGGGGAAUAUUGGACAAUGGGCGAAAGCCUGAUCCAGCCAUGCCGCGUGUGUGAAGAAGGCCUUUUGGUUGUAAAGCACUUUAAGCGAGGAGGAGGCUACUUAGAUUAAUACUCUAGGAUAGUGGACGUU